AUUGAACGCUGGCGGCAGGCCUAACACAUGCAAGUCGAACGAGUGGCGGACGGGUGAGUAAUGUCUGGGAAACUGCCUGAUGGAGGGGGAUAACUACUGGAAACGGUAGCUAAUACCGCAUACCAUCGGAUGUUCCCAGCUGGGAUUAGCUAGUAGGUGGGUGAAAGGCUCACCUAGGCGACGAUCCCUAGCUGGUCUGAGAGGAUGACCAUCCACACAGGAUCUGAGGCAGUGGCCAGACUCCUAGGGGGGGCAGCAGUGGGCAAUAUUGCACAAUGGGCGCAAGCCUGAUGCAGCCAUGCCGCGUGUAUGAAGAAGGCCUUCGGAUUGUAAAGUACUUUCAGCGUGUAGGCGUUACCCGCAGAAGAAGCACCGGCUAACUCCGUGCCAGCAACCGCGGUAAUUC
rnacentral:rRNA from 1 species